GUUCCCUUUUUGAGUCUUGAUGCCCAAUUACCUUGUCUUGUACUGAAUAAUUGAUGCAUUAUAUGUACAAUGUUUGGGUAAAAAAUGCAGUAACCAAUGUCCUUGUACAAGAAACUUAAUACUGCGCCAGAAUCUAUAUUGUCCACAUCAUCUUUGAAUUUAUGUCCUUACACUUAAAAUUUGACCUUGCUCUUAAUUAAGAGAUGAUGUAUUUUGAAGGGUUCCACAUCUAUACUGAAAACCUUUACCCGAUUGUGAUGUUCAUAACUUUUUAAUGCAGCUGAAAUAGUCAGAAGACAAGCUCUCUUUCCCGGUGACUCUGAGUUGCAACAGUUGCUUCACAUUUUCAGUCUGUAAUUGACAAGGAGAGGAAGGGGGAAUACUUGGGAAAGACUGUCCAGGUAUUUUGGAUCACGUGAUGCGGACUUGAUUUUGUUUCAUCUGUCUGGGGGAUAUUGAAUCUAUGCCUUUUAUCGAAGUUUUGGGUCAAUUCUCCUAUCGUGUUGGUGCAUGUUAGUCUUGUUCCAGUUCUUAAUGUCGUUGGUGAGCAGAAAACAAAGCCGACUCAGCAUAGUGUACGUGCUUUAAGGGGACUUGGCUCACCCCAAAUAUUUUAGCUUGCCGCAGUACAAAGGAAUUGGAGGAUAAUGUGAAGGAGAAACUCUCCCAGUUCUGCCAUGUGCCGGAGCUUUUGCAGGAGUAGCGGUAGAAGGUCCACUUGACGGCAGGGGAGGACCUCGAGGCACAGGGGAGGACCUCGAGGCGGCCAGGGGCAGAGCUGGGCGGCCGGGCUGCGCGGAACGGGCCGCGCGCGAGGACGUCGACGAGGUGCGCGGCGGCG